rnacentral:rRNA from 1 species
GUGACGAAGCGACGCCGCGUGUGGGAAGAAGGUCUUCGGAUCGUAAAGCACUGUCAGCUGGGAGGAAUCUCUGGGGUUUGAACAGAGCCGUAGGGUGACAGUACCAGCAGAGGAAGCCACGGCUAACUCCGUGCCAGCAGCCGCGGUAAUACGGAGGUGGCAGGCGUUACUCGGAUUGAUUGGGUGUAAAGGGUUUGUAGGCGGUGCACUAAGUCGAAUGUGAAAUCCCUUGGCUUAACCAAGGAACUGCGCUCGAAACUGGCGUGCUUGAGUGUUGGAGAGGAAAGCGGAAUUCCCGGUGUAACAGUGAAAUGUGUAGAUAUUAGGAGGAACGCCGGUGGCGAAAGCGGCUCUCUGGCCUGCAGCUGACGCUGAGGUGCGAAAGCUAGGGGAGCAAACAGGAUUAGAUACUCUGGUCGUCCUAGCCCUAAACGAU